CAGAGCAGAGACAGCACUGCACAGCCAGCCUCGGUGUUUUCAGUUGAAAGGCUUGAAAGAAUACUUACUAUUGUAUCCUAGCUCUGCUGACCCCAGAGGUCACAAUAUGUCUUUUAUCAAGCGCUAUAAGGAAAGCACAAGCCAAGCAAGCAUUUGCAAUGCUCUGUUUGUAGAAACACCUAAAAUCUACCUAACACAACCUCUCCCUCACAAAACAUGGCUGUCUUAUUCAGAGAUUAGCAAUUAUUGUAAUGAGAUACUGUCGGAGAGGGUCAAAUAGUACUUCCUGCAGUUUACACAUCUUGAUUUCCUGGUAAACAAACUGAGAGGCAGGUGGAGCACUUGGCACGCCAGUAACUGAGAGCUCACGUGACUACACCGAGCCAGCAUGCAAACAUGGUCCUUAUUUCGUCAGAGAAAAUGGUGAAUGGAAUUCCUGCCACACAGACACAGGCUGUGUAUUCGUAUAUCAAGACAAAACUAUUAUUUCAACUAUUUCAAAAGUGUAUGCACGACUGUGUUAGGUCCCACAACAGUUCACAUUUAAACAAAGAAAACAUUGAAGAGAAACA
rnacentral:lncRNA from 1 species